AACGUAGGUUCCGAGCGUUAUCCGGAUUUACUGGGCGUAAAGCGCGUUCAGGCGGUUUGGCAAGUCGGGCAUGAAAUCUCUCGGCUCAACCGGGAGAGGUUGUCCGAUACUUCCAGACUUGAGGGCAGUAGAGGGUGGUGGAAUUCCGGGUGUAGCGGUGAAAUGCGCAGAUAUCAGGAGGAACACCGGUGGCGAAGGCGGGUCUCUGGGCCGAUACUGACGCUGAGGAGCGAAAGCCAGGGGAGCAAACGGG
rnacentral:rRNA from 1 species